UUCCGUAGGGUGAACCUGCGGAAGGAUCAUUACCGAGUGUAGGGUUCCUAGCGAGCCCAACCUCCCACCCGUGUUUACUGUACCUUAGUUGCUUCGGCGGGCCCGCCAUUCAUGGCCGCCGGGGGCUCUCAGCCCCGGGCCCGCGCCCGCCGGAGACACCACGAACUCUGUCUGAUCUAGUGAAGUCUGAGUUGAUUGUAUCGCAAUCAGUUAAAACUUUCAACAAUGGAUCUCUUGGUUCCGGCAUCGAUGAAGAACGCAGCGAAAUGCGAUAACUAGUGUGAAUUGCAGAAUUCCGUGAAUCAUCGAGUCUUUGAACGCACAUUGCGCCCCCUGGUAUUCCGGGGGGCAUGCCUGUCCGAGCGUCAUUGCUGCCCAUCAAGCACGGCUUGUGUGUUGGGUCGUCGUCCCCUCUCCGGGGGGGACGGGCCCCAAAGGCAGCGGCGGCACCGCGUCCGAUCCUCGAGCGUAUGGGGCUUUGUCACCCGCUCUGUAGGCCCGGCCGGCGCUUGCCGAACGCAAAUCAAUCUUUUUCCAGGUUGACCUCGGAUCAGGUAGGGAUACCCGCUGAACUUAAGCAUAUCAAUAAAGCGGAG
rnacentral:misc_RNA from 1 species